rnacentral:rRNA from 1 species
UAGAGUUUGAUCCUGGCUCAGGACGAACGCUGGCGGCGUGCUUAACACAUGCAAGUCGAACGGUGACGAAGAGCUUGCUCUUCUGAUCAGUGGCGAACGGGUGAGUAACACGUGAGCAACCUACCCUUGACACUGGGAUAACAGUUGGAAACAGCUGCUAAUACCGGAUACGACCCUGGCAGGCAUCUGCCGGGGUGGAAAGCUCCGACGGUCAAGGAUGGGCUCGCGGCCUAUCAGCUUGUUGGUGAGGUAACGGCUCACCAAGGCGACGACGGGUAGCCGGCCUGAGAGGGCGACCGGCCACACUGGGACUGAGAUACGGCCCAGACUCCUACGGGAGGCAGCAGUGGGGAAUAUUGCGCAAUGGGCGAAAGCCUGACGCAGCAACGCCGCGUGCGGGAUGAAGGCCUUCGGGUUGUAAACCGCUUUCAGCAGGGACGAAGGAUUUCUGACGGUACCUGCAGAAGAAGCACCGGCUAACUACGUGCCAGCAGCCGCGGUAAUA